GCAUAUCAAUAAGCGGAGGAAAAGAAACUAACUAGGAUUCCCUUAGUAACGGCGAGUGAACCGGGAUGAGCUCAAAUUUAAAAUCUGGCGUCUUUCAGGCGUCCGAGUUGUAAUCUAUAGAGGCGUUUUCCGCGCCGGACCGCGUCCAAGUCUCUUGGAAUAGAGUAUCAAAGAGGGUGACAAUCCCGUACUUGACGCGACAACCGGUGCUCUGUGAUACGUUCUCAAUGAGUCGAGUUGUUUGGGAAUGCAGCUCUAAAUGGGUGGUAAAUUCCAUCUAAGGCUAAAUAUUGGCGAGAGACCGAUAGCGAACAAGUACCGUGAGGGAAAGAUGAAAAGCACUUUGGAAAGAGAGUUAAACAGCACGUGAAAUUGUUAAAAGGGAAACGAUUGAAGUCAGUCGUGUGAAAGGUAUUCAGCCGUCUCUGGCGGUGUAUUUGCCUUUCACGGGUCAACAUCAGUUUGAUCCGGUAGAAAAAGGCAGGAGGAAGGUGGCACCCUCGGGUGUGUUAUAGCCUCUUGUCAUAUGUGCCGGACCAGACUGAGGAACGCAGCUUGCCGCAAGGCCGGGGUUCGCCCACGUACAAGCUUAGGAUGUUGACAUAAUGGCUUUAAACGACCCGUCUUGAAACACGGACC
rnacentral:rRNA from 1 species